CGAACGCUGGCGGCAGGCCUACCACAUGCACGUCGACCGAACCUUUCGGGGUUAGUGGCGGACGGGUGAGUAACACGUGGGAACGUGCCUUUAGGUUCGGAAUAACUCAGGGAAACUUGUGCUAAUACCGAAUGUGCCCUUCGGGGGAAAGAUUUAUCGCCUUUAGAGCGGCCCGCGUCUGAUUAGCUAGUUGGUUGAGGUAAUGGCUCACCAAGGCGACGAUCAGUAGCUGGUCUGAGAGGAUGAUCAGCCACAUUGGGACUGAGACACGGCCCAAACUCCUACGGGAGGCAGCAGUGGGGAAUCUUGCGCAAUGGGCGAAAGCCUGACGCAGCCAUGCCGCGUGAAUGAUGAAGGUCUUAGGAUUGUAAAAUUCUUUCACCGGGGACGAUAAUGACGGUACCCGGAGAAGAAGCCCCGGCUAACUUCGUG
rnacentral:rRNA from 1 species